rnacentral:rRNA from 1 species
UACGUAGGGGGCUAGCGUUGUCCGGAAUCAUUGGGCGUAAAGAGCGUGUAGGCGGUCCGGUAAGUCCGCUGUGAAAGUCGGGGGCUCAACCCUCGAAUGCCGGUGGAUACUGUCGGGCUAGAGUACGGAAGAGGCGAGUGGAAUUCCUGGUGUAGCGGUGAAAUGCGCAGAUAUCAGGAGGAACACCAAUGGCGAAGGCAGCUCGCUGGGACGGUACUGACGCUGAGGCGCGAAAGCGUGGGGAGCAAACAGG